GGGCAGGCUCAGCGGCCAUGGCUCACGGGCCCAGCCGCUCCGCGGCAUGUGGGAUCCUCCCGGACCGGGACACGAAUCUGUGUCCCUUGCAUCGGCAGGCGGAUUCUCAACCACUGCGCCACAAGGGAAGCCUGGCUACUACAGAUAAAGCUGCUAUGAACAAUCAGGCACACAAUGCUAUGUGGGCAAAUUCUUUCAUUUCUCUGGGAUAAAUGUCCAGGAGUACAACUGCUGAGUUAUAUGGAAAAGAAGUGAUCAAAACCAACUCUAAAAAAGAUACAGUGUUGGGCUUCCCUGGUGGCGCAGUGGUUGAGAGUCCGCCUGCUGAUGCAGGGGACACAGGUUCGUGCCCUGGUUCAGGAAGAUCCCACAUGCCGCGGAGCAGCUAGGCCCGUGAGCCAUGGCUGCUGAGCCUGCACGUCCAGAGCCUGUGCUCCACAAUGGGAGAGGCCACAGUGGUGAGAGACCCGCGUACCGCAAAAAAAUAAAAUAAAAAAAUAAAAUGUAAAUAGACCAACUUCUCUUGAAGGAACAGAGAAGACUGUCAACGAAUUAUUCCCUAGGAAAGGUAACAGUAAUGCACAUUCCUAUCAUCCAAACUGUGGUCUUUAAGUAUUAUUCCCUACUAAUAUCAACCUGAGCUCUUUGGAGAAUUUGCAGAUUCCUAAUCUAAAGCAAGGAAGGUAUGUGUGUCCAUGAUUUCCCAUGCCAAAAAGUAAGGAAGAUUGCACAGAUUAGUGAGUGAUGUCAAAAUAACAUAGGAAACAGCUUAAGAAGCAACCCAGGCUAACAGUGAGACAACAGGAGAGAGCAAGAGUGAGGGAGGGAGACGGAUGAUCAUUCAUUGAAAUGCAUUUAAUGAAUGAAUAUAUAUAUAUAUAUAUAGAUAGAUAGAUAUGUGAAAGAGCAUUUCCAAUGUCAGCAAGGUGGCUAUUUAAAUAACUGUACUUGGAAAGUUGAUAGUUCAAAAGGAAAAAAAGCACAUUUUCUACUUUUCUAAAUUAAGAACUACUGUUCAAAGUCAUCAAUAAGAAAGUAAAAGGUAAGCCAUCAUAUGCAAGAUAUUAUAUAUGAAAUACACACAUACACCCCAACCCUAGUUUCUUUGGAGUACUUGUGGAUUUCUGAUCUGAAGCAGAGAAGGUAUGAGUUGAGUCCAGGAUUUCCUGUACCAAAAAAGCAAGGAAGAUUUCAAAGAUUAAUGGGUGAUGGGUAGAUUAAUGUGUGGAGAUAUAGUUAUACAUAGAUAGGGAUAGCUAUAUAUAGAUAUUUAGCUAUAUAGAUACAGAUAUAUCUCAAGUUGUAUCCAGAAUAAAAAUCAACUCCUAAAAACCAGUAAGAAAAACCCCAGCCAGCCAAACAGAACACUGUGUGGAAGACUUCAAUGGGCAUUUCUUAAAAGAGGGUAUCCAAAUAGUCAACAAAAAUAAAGCAGUACUGUAAUUUUCAGGGAAAUGCGAAUUAAAACACAAUGCUACCAACUACUCAACAGAAUAGCUAAAAUGAAAAGAUGGGAGAGAAACAAUAUCAAAUGCCUUUAAGGUUGCAUAACAAGAAGAAUUCUCUUAUACACUAGUAGUGGGAGUGCACGCUAGCAAAGCUGCUUAGGAAAAUUGAAAGUAUCACAGUUCAACAUAUAUAUCCAGUGUCACCAAAUUCCACUCCUAAGUAGACACUUAACAAAAAUUUGUAAAUAUACUCCUUGUUACUCAAAUGUAUUUGUUACUCAAAUCUCAACAGAUUUCCAAUCUGCAUUUUCCAUCCAGUGUGAAGACACCCAGGAAAGGUCCUUCCUAGCACUGAGGGAGAAAAGGCUGCUGAACCAGGAAAAACCUGACUCUUGAUCAGCAAUGCUUUCAGAGAAAGAUCUUUUAUUUUUUUAACUGAAGUACAGUUGAUUUACAAUGCUGUGUUAGUUUCAGGUGUCAGAGAAAGAUCAUGAUCAAAAGGGGAAAAUGUGAAAAUUAACAAACAAACUAAUUUAAAAAGGAGUUGGGAGGCCAGGAGGCGGAGUUCUUAAAACCAACCACUCAUGUCAAUUGCAUACCCAAUAGGAAGAGAGGUACUUUGCAUCUCCAACAGGAAGAAGGAUACUACUUUACUACCAAGUAGGAGGAAGAGCUUUUCCUUUCCUGGCAACAGCCCAGCCAGUGAGCGACUGUCACAACUCAGCCAAUAAAAUGCCACUCACUUCAAACUCCUGGUUUCCUCCAAUGAACUCUUCGUAAUAGCCACUCCCACUCCCUCUUCUCCUCUAUAAAACAAAACAAAACAAAAAAACUAUCUCCUUUGGACUUGCCUGUGGUUUGCCAUAGAUUGCAUGUCCUUAAUCGCAAUUCUUUGCUGUUCCCAAAUAAACCCAUUUUGCUGGUAAAAUAACUGGCUGAUAUAUUGUUUUAGGUAAACAAUUGGAAGACUAAACAUCAUAAAGAUGUUAGUUCAUUAAGAAAUGUCA